rnacentral:rRNA from 1 species
AUACGUAGGGGGCAAGCGUUAUCCGGGUUUACUGGGUGUAAAGGGAGCGUAGACGGCAAAGCAAGUCUGAAGUGAAAGCCCCGGGCUCAACCCGGGAAUUGCUUUGGAAACUGUUUAGCUGGAGUGCAGGAGAGGUAAGCGGAAUUCCUAGUGUAGCGGUGAAAUGCGUAGAGAUUGGGAGGAACACCAGUGGCGAAGGCGACUUACUGGACUGUAACUGACGCUGAGGCGCGAAAGUGUGGGGAGCAAACAGGAUUAGAUACCCUGGUAGUCCACACUGUAAACGAUGAAUGCUAGGUGUAGGGGGUAUCGACUCCCUCUGUGCCGCAGUUAACACAAUAAGUAUUCCGCCUGGGGAGUACGGCCGCAAGGUUGAAACUCAAAGGAAUUGGCGGGG